UACGUAGGGCGCAAGCGUUGUCCGGAUUUAUUGGGCGUAAAGAGCGUGUAGGCGGCCAUACAGGUCAGCUGUGAAAACUCGAGGCUCAACCUCGAGACGCCGGUGGAAACCAUCAGACUAGAGUCCGGAAGAGGAGAGUGGAAUUCCUGGUGUAGCGGUGAAAUGCGCAGAUAUCAGGAAGAACACCCGUGGCUAAGGCGGCUCUCUAGUACGGUACUGACGCUGAGACGCGAAAGCGUGGGGAGCGAACAGG
rnacentral:rRNA from 1 species